GUUAAAGAAGAAGAGGAUGAGGAAGUCAGCCAGAUUCAUUCAGGUCCCCAGUAGAAGAAGUGGACUGGGAGGCUGUUGAACUUGGAGAGAGUCCUAACCACUGCUCAGACUGUGAGGAGAGACCUCCCCAGCAGGAGAAUCACACAGCUAAACACCAUUAUCACCACACAGAGAACACAAGCCUCACUCCUGCUCCGACUCUAUUUGAAGGACCUGAUCAAAGCCAUUGAUUAGGAAAUAAUUAGGUUCAUGAUAUCAUUUAGUUACUGUACCCUAUUACAGAUAUGUAUGUUUAAUUAAUUGCCUUUGAUUGAAUACAUCAUGGUUGCAACAAUCUGCUCUAUCAAUCAUUAGAAACUGGGUGGUUUGAGCCCUGAAUACUGAUUGGCUGACAGGAGUGGUAUAUCAGAACAUAUACCACAGGUAUGACAAAACAUAGAUUUUUACUGCUCUAAUUACAUUGGUAACCAGUUUAUAAUAGCAAUAAAGCACCUCGGGGGUUGUGGUAUAUGGCCAAUAUACCACAGCUAAUAACUAUAUACUACAGUAUUUAACCGUGGUAAAUUUGCCAUAUACCACACCCCUUCGGACCUUAUUUCUUACAUAGACCAUUCAAUCUUAAUUCUAGGGUGACCAGACGUCCCCGAUUUUGGUGGCCAGUACCUGGAUAUAACUGUCCCAGAAAAUGUCUCUGAUUAGGCUUGAGAAAGGAAAAACAACAACUUUGAAGUUAAAUUGAGUCUGAUCUUUCCAUUAAAAGAAUGGCUAUCCCAUCCCUGUCCCAAGCUCGUUUGCUCCCGCAGCUUUGCCACGGGCCUUUUUAUGACAACGUUUAAUC
rnacentral:lncRNA from 1 species